AUACGGAGGCUGCAAGCGUUACUCGGAAUCACUGGGCGUAAAGCGCGCGCAGGCGGGCUGAUAAGUUGGAUGUGAAAGCCUACGGCUCAACCGUAGAACUGCAUCCAAAACUGUCAGUCUAGAGUCUGGGAGGGGAAGAUGGAAUUAGUUGUGUAGGGGUAAAAUCCGUAGAGAUAACUAGGAAUACCAAAAGCGAAGGCGAUCUUCAGGAACAGUACUGACGCUGAGGCGCGAAAGCGUGGGGAGCAAACAGGAUUAGAAACCCUAGUAGUCC
rnacentral:rRNA from 1 species